rnacentral:rRNA from 1 species
UGAACGCUGGCGGCGUGCCUACUACAUGCAAGUCGAACGGGGAGUAGCAAUACUCUUAGUGGCGAACGGGUGAGUAACGCGUUGGUACCUGCCCCGAAGCGGGGGAUAACGGACCGAAAGGUCCGCUAAUACCCCAUGUGCUCGGUAACGAGUAAAGGUGAAAACCACUUUGGGAGGGGCCUGCGUCCCAUCAGCUAGUUGGUAAGGUAACGGCUUACCAAGGCGAUGACGGGUAGGGGACCUGAGAGGGUGGCCCCCCACAAUGGAACUGAAACACGGUCCAUACACCUACGGGUGGCAGCAGUAGGGAAUAUUGGUAAUGGGCGCAAGCCUGAACCAGCAACGCCGCGUGUGCGAUGACGGCCUUCGGGUUGUAAAGCACUUUUGACUGGGACGAGGAAGGACGGUACCGGUCGAAUCAGCCUCGGCUAACUACGUG